UAUGUCCAUAUCAUGUUGGAACACCAGUUCCUGUAUGAUCACCAAAUUUAAGCAAUUUUGAGCCUGGUCAGUAUCCAGAUGGGUGACUGCUUGUGAGUACAAGGUGCUGUAAG